UUAAAAGUAAUUUAAUAAUAAAAUAUUAACUUUGGGAGUUGACAAUUAGGGAAACCUACUUUUAAA
rnacentral:tRNA from 1 species